GUGGGGGCAACGUCAGGUAUCAGCUGUAGCAUCUGUGGAUCAGUUCAUCAUCAGUGAUAGGAAAAUAACCAAACACAGCAACAGGAUGGAGAAUAACUGGGUGGGUUAGCAAUGAAAGACGUUAUUUUUAUUUUAUUUUAGGUAGGGUGGUCAGGAAAUGUCCCUCUGAGAAAGUAGCUUAAGUAGAGUACUGAAUAUAGAUAAGGUAUCAAUCUUGCUAAGAUCUAGGGGAACAGUGUGCCAAAAGAAGGGAACUUCUAGACGUGAAGUCCCCAAGGUCAGAAGUGGGCUUGACAUAAAUAAGGCACAGUAAGAAGGCCCAUGUGGCUGAGGCAGGGUGAGCACAGGAGAGAGGGACAAGGGCCAGGUCUCUAUGCAAGAAGGGUGGACCUAGUGUGUCAUGCAAAACCAUUGGAGGUUCUUAAACACGGAAGAGAUAAUCUCUUGCAUUCUUUAUCGUCUUGCUGUUGUGUGAAGAAUGGAGCCUGGGGACAGGAAGAAAGGAUGACAAAAGUGGAAGCAGAGAAACCAGUUCGGAGACUGUGGCAAUGGACUAUGCAGGAAAUAAUAGUAUCUUGGACCAGGAUUCAGAUUCAGGAGUAUCUGGCAUGUAGAAAGUGUAUGAUGCCAUGGGUCACCUGAUACUACCUAACAAGAGUGAGUUGCUGGAAAAGAAAGAAUGGCUGAAGACUGAGCCCUGGGAACAACAACAUAGAGAGGUCGAAAGGAAGAAAUAGACCAUCAAAGGAGAUUGAGGAGGAGUAACCAGUGAGAAUCACUUGGGUUACCCUGGACCAGACUGGCGCCACCAUUCCCCAGGCCAUGGAAGCUUUGCAGCCCCUCCUCCAACCCUGACCCACCCUCAGUGCUUAAGCUCCUGGAGUUAAAAGACACUUGGACAGUAAGACUGGGCUGGGUGGAUUAAAAAGAAAUGCAGGAAGCAGGAUCUCCCAGGGCAAGCUCUACCUGUCCAGACUCUCUAACCUCACCCAAGGAGGUCUGUGGGGACAGGGAGGGGACCGCUGUCUCCACCUCCUCCUCUGCUCCCCAAACUGUGAGUCACGCUGAAUGCAAUAAACCUUGAAUAGAAGAGUA